AGCAGCCGCGGUAAUUCCAGCUCCAAUAGCGUAUAUUAAAGUUGUUGCAGUUAAAAAGCUCGUAGUUGAAUUUCGAGAUCAAAUUGUUGGUCGUGCCUUGGUACGCACUGGCAUUAUUGGUUUCUCCCUUCUGAAGAACCAUGAUGUCAUUAAUUUGGUGUCUUGGGGAAUCAGGACUGUUACUUUGAAAAAAUUGAGUGUUUAAAGCAGGCUCGCGCUUGAAUACAUUAGCAUGGAAUAAUGAAAUAGGACGUUUGAUUCUAUUUUGUUGGUUUCUAGGAUCGACGUAAUGAUUAAUAGGGAUAGUUGGGGCAUUAGUA
rnacentral:rRNA from 1 species